GACGAACGCUGGCGGCGUGCUUAACACAUGCAAGUCGAACGGAGCGAAUGAAAGCUUGCUUUUAUGAGCUUAGUGGCAAACGGGUGAGUAACACGUAGACAACCUGCCGAUCAGAUGGGGACAACAUUCCGAAAGGAAUGCUAAUACCGAAUGAAGUGUGGGGGAGGCAUCUUCCCUACAUGAAAGAUGGCCUCUAUAUAUAAGCUAUCACUGAUCGAUGGGUCUGCGUCUGAUUAGCUAGUAGGUAAGGUAACGGCUUACCUAGGCGACGAUCAGUAGCCGGUCUGAGAGGAUGAACGGCCACAUUGGGACUGAGACACGGCCCAGACUCCUACGGGAGGCAGCAGUGGGGAAUCUUCCGCAAUGGGCGCAAGCCUGACGGAGCAACGCCGCGUGAGUGAAGAAGGUCUUCGGAUCGUAAAGCUCUGUUGAAGGGGACGAACGUACAUAAGUUGAAUAAUCCUUAUGUAAAA
rnacentral:rRNA from 1 species